GCAAAUUACAAACAUUCACAGCCUAUACAAACAGUUCUGUGUGGAUCUAUUCAUUAACAGGACCACAAGGUCAUCACGUGAGACUGGAAGGAAUUGUCACCUUUAGCAGGAGAAACGGUUCUUCACAGUAAGAACAAUAAAGAUACGGAAUGCAAUAAAUACAGACGUUCCAUUGUCAGAUGUAUUUAUUUAAACAGGACUAGAUGUAUUUUAGAAUAUGAGAACAGAAUUUAAGAAUUAUUAUUAAUAAUAAUAGCUGCACCAUUGUAUUUGAAGCAGAUAAUGGCUGUUGCCCAGAGGUCAGUGUCUUUCUAUAUUUUUUUAUAUUUGUGUGUUUUGAAUGCAUUUUUCCAUAAUGCAUUACAAAGGGGUCUCGGCACUACCAUGGGGUGUCAGUUUUAAUAGAAGACAAUGUGUAUUCCAGCUUGGUCUAGUUCUUUAAAGUGAUUCCCUCAGCUUCAUAACUAGUAGCUGAAGGGACACUAUAGGCAGCCAGACUAUUCAUCUCAUUGAAG